GCUACAGGCUUAAUACAUGCAAGUCGAGGGGCAGCAUGGUCUUAGCUUGCUAAGACUGAUGGCGACCGGCGCACGGGUGAGUAACACGUAUCCAACCUGCCGUCUACUCUUGGACAGCCUUCUGAAAGGAAGAUUAAUACAAGAUGGCAUCAUGAGUCCGCAUGUUCACAUGAUUAAAGGUAUUCCGGUGGACGAUGGGGAUGCGUUCCAUUAGAUAGUAGGCGGGGUAACGGCCCACCUAGUCUUCGAUGGAUAGGGGUUCUGAGAGGAAGGUCCCCCACAUUGGAACUGAGACACGGUCCAAACUCCUACGGGAGGCAGCAGUGAGGAAUAUUGGUCAAUGGGCGAGAGCCUGAACCAGCCAAGUAGCGUGAAGGAUGACUGCCCUAUGGGUUGUAAACUUCUUUUAUAAAGGAAUAAAGUCGGGUAUGGAUACCCGUUUGCAUGUACUUUAUGAAUAAGGAUCGGCUAACUCCGUGCCAGCAGCCGCGGUAAUACGGAGGAUCCGAGCGUUAUCCGGAUUUAUUGGGUUUAAAGGGAGCGUAGAUGGAUGUUUAAGUCAGUUGUGAAAGUUUGCGGCUCAACCGUAAAAUUGCAGUUGAUACUGGAUAUCUUGAGUGCAGUUGAGGCAGGCGGAAUUCGUGGUGUAGCGGUGAAAUGCUUAGAUAUCACGAAGAACUCCGAUUGCGAAGGCAGCCUGCUAAGCUGCAACUGACAUUGAGGCUUGAAAGUGUGGGUAUCAAACAGGAUUAGAUACCCUGGUAGUCCACACGGUAAACGAUGAAUACUCGCUGUUUGCGAUAUACUGCAAGCGGCCAAGCGAAAGCGUUAAGUAUUCCACCUGGGGAGUACGCCGGCAACGGUGAAACUCAAAGGAAUUGACGGGGGCCCGCACAAGCGGAGGAACAUGUGGUUUAAUUCGAUGAUACGCGAGGAACCUUACCCGGGCUUAAAUUGCAGAUGAAUUACGGUGAAAGCCGUAAGCCGCAAGGCAUCUGUGAAGGUGCUGCAUGGUUGUCGUCAGCUCGUGCCGUGAGGUGUCGGCUUAAGUGCCAUAACGAGCGCAACCCUUGUUGUCAGUUACUAACAGGUUCCGCUGAGGACUCUGACAAGACUGCCAUCGUAAGAUGUGAGGAAGGUGGGGAUGACGUCAAAUCAGCACGGCCCUUACGUCCGGGGCUACACACGUGUUACAAUGGGGGGUACAGAGGGCCGCUACCACGCGAGUGGAUGCCAAUCCCAAAAACCUCUCUCAGUUCGGACUGGAGUCUGCAACCCGACUCCACGAAGCUGGAUUCGCUAGUAAUCGCGCAUCAGCCACGGCGCGGUGAAUACGUUCCCGGGCCUUGUACACACCGCCCGUCAAGCCAUGGGAGCCGGGGGUACCUGAAGUGCGUAACCGCGAGGAGCGCCCUAGGGUAAAACUGGUGACUGGGGCUAAGUCAUAAC
rnacentral:rRNA from 1 species